rnacentral:rRNA from 1 species
UGGGGAAUAUUGCACAAUGGGCGCAAGCCUGAUGCAGCCAUGCCGCGUGUAUGAAGAAGGACUUCGGGUUGUAAAGUACUUUCAGCGGGGAGGAAGGGAGUAAAGUUAAUACCUUUACUCAUUGACGUUACCCGCAGAAGAAGCACCGGCUAACUCCGUGCCAGCAGCCGCGGUAAUACGGAGGGUGCAAGCGUUAAUCGGAAUUACUGGGCGUAAAGCGCACGCAGGCGGUUUGUUAAGUCAGAUGUGAAAUCCCCGGGCUCAACCUGGGAACUGUAUCUGAUGCUGGCAAGCUUGAGUCUCGUAGAGGGGGGUAGAAUUCCAGGUGUAGCGGUGAAAUGCGUAGAGAUCUGGAGGAAUACCGGUGGCGAAAGCGACCCCCUGGACGCAGACUGACGCUCAGGUGCGAAAGCGUGGGGAGCCAACAGG